GUACUGCUGAAGAGUCCCACAAAUAGGACGAAACGGCCUUCCAGUGC
rfam:Schistosoma mansoni strain Puerto Rico chromosome 2, complete genome